rnacentral:rRNA from 1 species
AUUGAACGCUGGCGGCAUGCCUUACACAUGCAAGUCGAACGGCAGCACGGGAGCAAUCCUGGUGGCGAGUGGCGAACGGGUGAGUAAUACAUCGGAACGUGCCCAAUCGUGGGGGAUAACGCAGCGAAAGCUGUGCUAAUACCGCAUAAGAUCUACGGAUGAAAGCAGGGGAUCGCAAGACCUUGCGCGAAUGGAGCGGCCGAUGGCAGAUUAGGUAGUUGGUGAGGUAAAGGCUCACCAAGCCUUCGAUCUGUAGCUGGUCUGAGAGGACGACCAGCCACACUGGGACUGAGACACGGCCCAGACUCCUACGGAGGCAGCAGUGGGAA